GACGAACGCUGGCGGCGUGCUUAACACAUGCAAGUCGAGCGGAAAGGCCCUUCGUGGUACUCGAGCGGCGAACGGGUGAGUAACACGUGAGUAACCUGCCCCAGACUUUGGGAUAACCCUCGGAAACGGGGGCUAAUACCGGAUACGACACAGCUUCGCAUGGGGUCUGUGUGGAAAGUUUUUCGGUUUGGGAUGGGCUCGCGGCCUAUCAGCUUGUUGGUGGGGUGAUGGCCUACCAAGGCGACGACGGGUAGCCGGCCUGAGAGGGCGACCGGCCACACUGGGACUGAGACACGGCCCAGACUCCUACGGGAGGCAGCAGUGGGGAAUAUUGCACAAUGGGCGGAAGCCUGAUGCAGCGACGCCGCGUGAGGGAUGACGGCCUUCGGGUUGUAAACCUCUUUCAGCAGGGACGAAGCGUAAGUGACGGUACCUGCAGAAGAAGCGCCGGCCAACUACGUG
rnacentral:rRNA from 1 species